UACGGAGGGGGCGAGCGUUAUUCGGAAUUAUUGGGCGUAAAGGGCGCGUAGGCGGCUAGAUGUGUCAAAGGUGAAAUCCCUCGGCUCAACUGAGGAACUGCCUUUGAAACUGUCUGGCUUGAGGCCGGGAGAGGGUAGCGGAAUUCCCAGUGUAGCGGUGAAAUGCGUAGAUAUUGGGAGGAACACCAGUGGCGAAGGCGGCUACCUGGACCGGUUCUGACGCUGAGGUGCGAAAGCGUGGGGAGCAAACAGG
rnacentral:rRNA from 1 species